UACGGAGGGGGCUAGCGUUGUUCGGAAUUACUGGGCGUAAAGCGCGUGUAGGCGGCUCCGCAAGUCGGGUGUGAAAUCCCAUGGCUCAACUAUGGAAGUGCACUCGAAACUGCGAAGCUAGAGUCCUGGAGAGGAAGGUGGAAUGCUUGGUGUAGAGGUGAAAUUCGUAGAUAUCAAGCGGAACACCGGUGGCGAAGGCGGCCUCUGGACAGUGA
rnacentral:rRNA from 1 species